UACGAAGGGGGCGAGCGUUGUUCGGAAUUACUGGGCGUAAAGGGAGUGUAGGCGGUUUAGUGAGAUAGCGGUGAAAUCCCGGGGCUUAACCUCGGAAUUGCCAUUAUUACUAUUAGACUAGAAUGAUAGAGAGGAUAUCGGAAUACCCAGUGUAGAGGUGAAAUUCGUAGAUAUUGGGUAGAACACCGGUGGCGAAGGCGGGUAUCUGGCUAUUAAUUGACGCUGAGGCUCGAAAGCAUGGGGAUCAAAC
rnacentral:rRNA from 1 species